rnacentral:rRNA from 1 species
UACGAAGGGUGCAAACGUUGCUCGGAAUCAUUGGGCGUAAAGCGCACGUAGGCGGCUUGCCAAGUCGGACGUGAAAUCCCUCAGCUCAACUGAGGACGUGCAUCCGAAACUGGCGAGCUUGAGUACUGAAGAGGAUCGCGGAAUUCCCGGUGUAGAGGUGAAAUUCGUAGAUAUCGGGAGGAACACCAGUGGCGAAGGCGACUGACUGGACAUGUAUUGACGCUGAGGUGCGAAAGCGUGGGGAGCAAACAGG